rnacentral:rRNA from 1 species
AAUAUUGGACAAUGGGGGCAAGCAUGAUCUAGCCAUGCCGCGUGUGUGAAGAAGGUCAUCGUAUUGUAAAGCACUUUAAGUUGGGAGGAAGGGCUUUAGGUUAAUACCAGAAAGUAUUGACUGUACCACCAGAAUAAGCACCGGCGAACUCUGUGCAAGCAGCUGCGGUAAUACAGAGGGUGCAAGUGUUAAUCGGAAUUACUGGACGUAAAGCGCGGGUCGGAGGUUGAAUAAGAUGUGUGUGAAGUCCCCGGGCUUAACCUGGGAACUGCUUUCAUAACUGCUGAGCUAGAGUACGGUAGGGGGUAGUGGAAUUUCCUGUGUAGCGGUGAAAUGCGUAGAUAUAGGACGGAACAACAGUGGCGAAGGCGACUACCUGGAGUGAUACUGACACUGAGGUGCGAAAGCGUGGGGAGCAAACA